AAAAAAGGUCAAGAGAGAAGAGCAGAAAAAAGGAAAAAGCUUCUGCAGAAAGGGGGAGAAAAGAGAAGUACAGAGAGAAAGUGACGUGAGAGGAGACAGGAGGAGAGAGAAAGAAAUAAAAAAGGAAGAAGAACUGUUCUUCUUCCCCGGUGGGUUCGACUGCCGCCCGCGCUGCUGCCCUCUGGACGCCGCCGCUUCGCCACACCGACGCCGCCGAUCUCGCUCAUUGACACCCCCCGAAAGCCCGACGCCGCUGUGCCACCGCGAGCACCGUUGCCGCACCUUGCCGCCGACGCAGCAACCCCUCGACGCCGCUGCCGCGCGCCUCCGACGCCCACCGCCGCGCCUCUGCACCCGCGAACCGCCUGUUGCCCGCUGGUCACGGCGUCGCUGUCCUGACGCCGACCCGUG
rnacentral:lncRNA from 1 species